rnacentral:lncRNA from 1 species
UGUGGGUCUUGGGGUCCCUGUGGGUCCCCGUGGGGCGGUUUUGGGGUCCCUGUGGGUCCCCGUGGGGCGGUUUUGGGGUCCCUGUGGGUCCCCGUGGGGCGGUUUUGAGGUCCCUGUGGGUCCCCAUGGGGUGGUUUGGGGUCCCUGUGGGGUAGUCUUGGGGUCUCAGUAGGGUGGUUUGGGGUCCGUGUGGGUCUCAGUGGGGCGGUUUGGGGUCCCCGUGGGUCUGAGUGGGGCGGUGUGGGGUCCCCGUGGGGCGGUUUGGGGUCGGUGUGGGUCUGAGUGUGGCGGCUCCUGCAGGUGGGGCCGCGGGCUGGGGCUACUGGAGGCGCUGGUGGGCCGGGACAGCGCCGUCAACGUCCCCAACAGCGUCAUCGGGAUCGGCUUCUACGGCAUGCAGGCGCUGCUGGGGGCGUGGCCGGGCAGGGGUAGGCGUGGCCAGCGCGUGAUUUUGGCGCGCUGGGCGGGGUUUUGGCGCGCCGGGCUGUUUUUUUGGCGCGCCGGGCGGGGUUUUUUGGCGCGGUGGGCGUGGCUUUUUGCUUUUUUUGGCGCGCUGGGCGUGGCUUUUUGUUUUUUGGGGGUGGGGGUGGGGCGGUGGGCGUGGCUUUUUGUGUUUUGGCGCGCCGUGGGAGGGGGGGGCGAUGGCGGCGCGCGCGGCGCUGUGCGCGGUGGGGUUGGCGCUGGCGGGGUACGCGCUGCACGUGGAGCGCGCGCACGAGAGGGACCCCACGUACCGGGCCAGCUGCGACCUCGGGCCCAGCGUCUCGUGCACGCGCGUGUUCGCCUCCAGGUGCGCGGGU